ACAAAAUUAACCGAACUGCAGGUGUGAAAACACCCGCAGACAUACGUAAAGAUGGACGACAUGACAGCUCCCCAAAAGUGGAGCCAAAAUAUCCGGAUUGCCCCCUGGUGGCUGGCUGCAGUAUAAACCCCGCCUCUUCCAUGUGAGUGGAUGGGACAUACGUAGUUCUUAUCGUAGUGAUGUAUGUUCAAGAGUUCAAAUGUUUCUGACAAGUUUGGUUUUAAUUACCUCAGCCAAGGAGAUUAUGUCUUCACCCCUUUGUCUGUUUCAAUCAGCAGGAUUACGCAUAAACCAAUGAACGGAUUGCCACGAAAUUCGGUGGAAGGAUGGGACGUGGCCUCGGACCCACGUUUUUUUUUUUUUUAAAAGUCACCUGGAUCUGCAUGUCUAGUAUGACACUCCCUACAAUUACUCACUUUCCAGCAUGCCUUGUGCCUUCCGGCCUACAAACAGAACCACAACCCUUCAGGGUGAAGCGAACAGCAAAGCCAACCAUAAAAUCAGCUGUAUGAAAGGCAAUUAUAUCUGCAGACCCACAAAGUGGGGGGGAACGGCCAUGUGAUAAAGUGGCAAAUGAAAAAACUGCAGAUAGGCGCCAUGGUAACGCGGCUCUCUCAGCGGCACAAACAAACGGCGCCGGAGCAGAAAUGGAGAGGUUGAGAGCGAAUGCUAAUCAUAAGAUGUUCUAAUGCACUUCCUCACGCUGACAAAACACAGACAUGCUCUUUAAACAGCCGUUGUCAGCGUCGCAGUCAGGACUGAAUUGAUAAUGUGUCUGUCUCUCCGCUUAGCGAUGGAAAAAAAAGCGAGGCGCAGGAGGAACAGUGGAGGCCAAAAAAAAAAAUCAAGUGUGAGAUCCUGUUCCCAGCUGUGCUUCACGUUCAUCUGGGAUCGCCCCCGGAUCAGAACCCGAGUGAGUGAUCAGGAGAAAGACCUGGAAGGAGAUGAGCAGGGAGCAGCGUCCGUCAGCCGCCUGUAAUCCAAGGCUCGGAUCUCACCAGCGUUACGGCGACGACAAAGGCAGAUGUGCAGAGCGACGGAGCUGAUGCAGUUGACAGCCGCAGUCGUCGUGGUUUUAACACACGUCAGCUGACUGACACUACACGUACCAAUGAAAUGCUUCUGUGCGACUGCAAUGUCCAGUUGUCAACAUUUCAGGAAAUCCAGGUAAUUGUUAACCUGACGUUGUUAAUGUUAUGACUGACGACGUUGGACCCACCACAUCUGUCGAAGAAAUCUGGAAAAUUCCGACUCGGAUGCAAAGCAAUUAGCCUCAGCUUGGAUUUGCCCUGUAAGCGACUUUUGAAUGACUUUAACUACGAC
rnacentral:lncRNA from 1 species